rnacentral:RNase_P_RNA from 1 species
AGUGAGCCGGACAGCCGCGUGCGCCCUUGCGGCGUAUGAGGAAAGUCCGAGCAUCACAGGGCGGGAUAACGGCUAACGGCCGCCGGGGGCGACCCUAGGGAAAGUGCAACAGAGAUAUACCGCCGCUUUAUGCGGUAAGGGUGGAAAGGCGAGGUAAGAGCUCACCGGCGCGCAGGAGACUGCGCGGCCCUGCAAACCCUAUCCGAUGCAACGCCGACUGGAGCGAUACAUUGGCCCGAUGUGCUCCGAAAGGCGGCUUGAGCCGUCUGGCAACAGACGGUCGAGACAGAUGGUUGUCCAAGACAGAACUCGGCUUACAGACUCACUCGC